rnacentral:ncRNA from 1 species
CCCGCCGCGACGAUCCCGUCGUGACGGGACGACAUGUGGUGCGCGUCGCGCACUGAAUCGCAAG